ACAAGAUUCCAGAGCGCACGACGUCGAAGUUCAAAGAUGUGGCGAGUCCUCACAGACACGGGUCCAGCGGCGAUGGUCCGUCUGCUGUGAAGAUGUCCUUCAGCUCCAGCAGCAGCAGCAGCUCACACUCAGGUCUCUGUGUGCUGGACAGUGCAGCUCAUCCCAGCAGAAACGCUCAGACGUCACCGCAGAACCAGGUCAAUCUGAUCAUU